AUUGAAAGCCGUAUUAAAAGCCGUAUUAAAAGCUGUAUUAAAAACAUACACAAGAUCCGUUUUUAGAUAUAAGAUAAGCACAUACAUGACAACCUACACAACAAACAAAAUGUUAAACACGUUGAGAAAGUUAAACGAUUACAGCAAUUUUUUGCCUACACAAAUCAAGAGUAAAGUAAAGAAGGAAAAAUAUAUAAUAUUAAACGAAAUAAAAAGAAUUACAACUGUUAAAAAAAAUGAUGCAUAUAACGUUACUUUUGUUAUAAAGUUGUUCAAUUCUUACGAAAUUAUUAAUACAGAGAAAUAUGAAUCAUUUCAUUUUUAUAUAUUUAUGAUUAGAUAUUUGUGGCGUUCACUGUUAAAUAAAAAUCUAGGUCCAAGUUUGAAAACAUAUAUUUGCCAAGUUAUUUCAAAUAUAUUAAAGAACAUAAAAAAGUAUAUUUUGGAUGACUUUUUUUUUAAUAAUAAUAUAAAUUUAAUUGAAAAAAAAACACAUGAAGUUGAUGAUUUGUUUAAGCAGAUGAGUGGUAGAACUAAUGAUGGAGUUAUGACUAGUAAUGAUAAUAUUAACUAUGACAGUGAAGUAACAAAUAAUUCAUAUGAAGAUCUUAGUGACAGUUAUUAUAAUGAAUAUAAAAAAAAUAAUGAUGAAAGUGAUAAUGACAGUAGUUCUUAUGAAAAUAAAGAAGAAGUAUCUACUCAUAGUACUUAUAAUGUUAUGUAUGAUGGUAUAUAUGAUAAAAAUGAAGAUUAUGAUAAAAAUAAUUUUUUAAAUGAAGAAGUUAUAAUUAAUAAAAAAAAUGAAAGUUUUCGUUUAUAUAUUCAAAAGUAUAUAUUAGACAUUAUAGAUUAUAAAUAUUUAUUUAAUUUGUUGUAUGAUUAUUUAAAUAAUUAUAACAUUAAACAUAAUGAAUGUAGUUACAAUAUGAAAAAAAAAUUUUAUAGGUUCUGUGUUAAAUGUUCUAAUCAAUUUAAAAUCAUUUUGUUAUUAUAAUAUGAAUAUACAUAAUUUUUUAAUUAAAUUUUCAUUAAAUAAUAUAUUUGCAGUAGAAUAUGAAGAAUAUAUAAAUAAAGAAAAAAAAUUUAAGUUUAUUCA
ensembl:lncRNA